AGAGUUUGAUCCUGGCUCAGGAUGAACGCUGGCGGCGUGCCUAACACAUGCAAGUCGAGCGAUUUACUUCGGUAAAGAGCGGCGGACGGGUGAGUAACGCGUGGGUAACCCGCCUCAUACACAUGGAUAACAUACCGAAAGGUAUGCUAAUACAGGAUAAUAUAAGAGAUUCACAUGGAUUUUUUAUCAAAGCUCCGGCGGUAUGAGAUGGACCCGCGUCUGAUUAGCUAGUUGGUAAGGUAAUGGCUUACCAAGGCGACGAUCAGUAGCCGACCUGAGAGGGUGAUCGGCCACAUUGGAACUGAGACACGGUCCAAACUCCUACGGGAGGCAGCAGUGGGGAAUAUUGCACAAUGGGCGAAAGCCUGAUGCAGCAACGCCGCGUGAGUGAUGAAGGCCUUCGGGUCGUAAAACUCUGUCCUCAAGGAAGAUAAUGACGGUACUUGAGGAGGAAGCCCCGGCUAACUACGUGCCAGCAGCCGCGGUAAUACGUAGGGGGCUAGCGUUAUCCGGAAUUACUGGGCGUAAAGGGUGCGUAGGUGGUUUUUUAAGUCAGAAGUGAAAGGCUACGGCUCAACCGUAGUAAGCUUUUGAAACUGAGAAACUUGAGUGCAGGAGAGGAGAGUAGAAUUCCUAGUGUAGCGGUGAAAUGCGUAGAUAUUAGGAGGGAUACCAGUUGCGAAGGCGGCUCUCUGGACUGUAACUGACACUGAGGCACGAAAGCGUGGGGAGCAAACAGGAUUAGAUACCCUGGUAGUCCACGCCGUAAACGAUGAGUACUAGUGUCGGGGGUUACCCCCCUCGGUGCCGCAGCUAACGCAUUAAGUACUCCGCCUGGGAAGUACGCUCGCAAGAGUGAAACUCAAAGGAAUUGACGG
rnacentral:rRNA from 1 species